UACAGGGGGGCAAGCGUUGUUCGGAAUUACUGGGCGUAAAGGGUUCGUAGGUGGCCACUUAAGUCAGACGUGAAAUCCCUCGGCUUAACCGGGGAACUGCGUCUGAUACUGGAUGGCUUGAGAUUGGGAGAGGGAUGCGGAAUUCCAGGUGUAGCGGUGAAAUGCGUAGAUAUCUGGAGGAACACCGGUGGCGAAGGCGGCAUCCUGGACCGACAUUGACGCUGAGGUGCGAAAGCGUGGGAGCAAACAGG
rnacentral:rRNA from 1 species